rnacentral:tRNA from 1 species
UUAGUGGUAUAGUAAUGGCAUGGUAAGGCAUAAGUCAUCGGUUCGAAUCUGAUAGAAUACU